GAGCAGCGGAGAGGGGUGGGGCCAAGGAGAGGUCAGUUUUAUCGGUUCUUAGAACUACUGGUGAUGUUAACAACCAGUUCUAUAGAACCGGUGCGAACCGGUAGAAACCCACCCCUGCCUCAAAUUAGUU